rnacentral:tRNA from 1 species
GGGGCUGUAGCUCAAUGGUGGAGCACUCACCUAGCAUGUGUGAGGCACUGGGUUCGAUCCUCAGCACCACA